AUGCUUGUCUCAAAGAUUAAGCCAUGCAUGUCUAAGUACAAGCCGCUAGACGGCGAAACCGCGAAUGGCUCAAUAAAUCAGUUAUGGUUCCUUAGAACAGUCAAUCCUACUUGGAUAACUGUGGUAAUUCUAGAGCUAAUACAUGCACCCAAGCCCCGACUCGGGGGGCAACUCUCGAGAAAGGGCGCUUUUAUUAGAUCAAAACCAGUCGAGAGCUUCGGCUCUCGUUAAGUUUGGUGACUCUGGAUAACUUCACGCUGAUCGCACGGUCUUCGCACCGGCGACGAUUCUUUCAAAUGUCUGCCUUAUCAACUGUCGAUGGUAGGUUAUGCGCCUACCAUGGUUGCAACGGGUAACGGGGAAUA
rnacentral:rRNA from 1 species